rnacentral:rRNA from 1 species
AACGAACGCUGGCGACAGGCUUAACACAUGCAAGUCGAGCGCCCCGCAAGGGGAGCGGCAGACGGGUGAGUAACGCGUGGGAAUCUACCGUGCCCUGCGGAAUAGCUCCGGGAAACUGGAAUUAAUACCGCAUACGCCCUACGGGGGAAAGAUUUAUCGGGGUAUGAUGAGCCCGCGUUGGAUUAGCUAGUUGGUGGGGUAAAGGCCUACCAAGGCGACGAUCCAUAGCUGGUCUGAGAGGAUGAUCAGCGACAUUGGGACUGAGACACGGCCCAAGCUCCUACGGGAGGAAGCAGUGGGAAUCUUGGACAAUGGGCGCAAGCCUGAUCCAGCCAUGCCGCGUGAGUGAUGAAGGCCCUAGGGUUGUAAAGCUCUUUCAACGGUGAAGAUAAUGACGGUAACCGUAGAAGAAGCCCCGGCUAACUUCGUGCCAGCCGCCGCGGUAAGAC